ACACGACUACAUUAGAUACCCGCGUAGUCCUAGCCGUAAACGAUACUCGCUAGGUGUCGGCCACGGUGCGACCGUUGUCGGUGCCGUAGGGAAGCCGUGAAGCGAGCCACCUGGGAAGUACGGCCGCAAGGCUGAAACGUAAAGGAAUUGGCGGGGGAGCACAACAACGGGUGGAGCUUGCGGUUUAAUUGGAUUCAACGCCGGAAAUCUUACCGGGACCGACAGCAACAUGAAGGCCAAGCUGAAGACUUUGCCGGAUUAGCUG
rnacentral:rRNA from 1 species